UACGUAGGGUGCGAGCGUUGUCCGGAAUUAUUGGGCGUAAAGUGCUCGUAGGCGGUCUGUCGCGUCGGGAGUGAAAACUCAGGGCUUAACCCUGAGCCUGCUUCCGAUACGGGCAGACUAGAGGUAUGCAGGGGAGAACGGAAUUCCUGGUGUAGCGGUGAAAUGCGCAGAUAUCAGGAGGAACACCAGUGGCGAAGGCGGUUCUCUGGGCAUUACCUGACGCUGAGGAGCGAAAGUGUGGGGAGCGAACAGG
rnacentral:rRNA from 1 species